GGUUUAAUUCGAAGCAACGCGAAGAACCUUACCUGAUCUUGACAUCCCGAUGACCGCUUCGUAAUGGAAGCUUUUCUUCGGAACAUCGGUGACAGGUGGUGCAUGGUUGUCGUCAGCUCGUGUCGUGAGAUGUUGGGUUAAGUCCCGCAACGAGCGCAACCCCUAUCUUCAGUAGCCAGCAGGUUAAGCUGGGCACUCUGGAGAGACUGCCAGGGAUAACCUGGA
rnacentral:rRNA from 1 species